AAGAUCAGGAAAUAUUUUUGUUUUUUUUGGACACAUAUUUAACCCCUUAUUUUUGUUGGCACAAAACGACCUCCAUACUUCCAGACCAGUCCCGUCACACUUGUGGGGGUUGUAGAGAGUCUUGUAGAGAGUCGUGUAGAGAGUCUUGUUCAUGAGAGGCUCCUUUCCAUAGAGUGGUCAGAAUCAUUUCUAGGCCAAACAUUUCCAGACGCUACAGACUUUUUUGUGAGAAUAAUUUUUUUUUCUUUUUAGGAUGUCUCAUGGUCUGACAAACAUCGCUGUAGCUCAGGACACCUUCCACAGCAGACGCAUGGGGAAGAUGGGCGACACCUGGAGGGGGCUGGAGACAAUCACAAAGACAGAUGAAACAGAUCAGGGUGUGACACUUUGAAAGUUUCCAGUAAAGCACCCUCCCUUUGCAACCCCUUAGCUGGACCAGAUCACCAUGGUACCCAGAUGGACCGUUGUGAAGACAUUGAGUUUGAUGCGAUCACCCCGAACGCCAAGAGAAUCACCUACUUCUUCAAGGGACAACAAGGUGUUCAGCUACCACGAGCGUAGCCAUGUCCUGGUGGAGGGCUUCCCCAAGGACAUCUCUGAGGUGUUCCCUGGUUUCCCUGACCACCUGGAUGCUGCUGUGGUGUGUCCCAAGGGAGAUUGUCGCUGAGACUCUGUCAUAUUCUUCAAGGGGCAUGGCAUGCUCCACUUUGACACCUACACUAAGAAGGUAAAGGCUAGCCAGUGGACCCACCUCCCCAACUUCACCUCGGCCCUUCGCUGGUCGGAUCACUACUACUGUUUCCAUGGGCACGAACGUUAGUCAGUCACACAAGAUAUCGCUGGAGAUGUUUGGCUGUGGACACCAUGGGGCGAACGUUAGUCAGUCACACAAGAUAUCGCUGGAGAUGUUUGGCUGUGGACACCAUGGGGCGAACGUUAGUCAGUCACACAAGAUAUCGCUGGAGAUGUUUGGCUGUGGACACCAUGGGGCGAACAUUAGUCAGUCACACAAGAUAUCGCUGGAGAUGUUUGGCUGUGGACACCAUGGGGCGAACAUUAGUCAGUCACACAAGAUAUCGCUGGAGAUGUUUGGCUGUGGACACCAUGGGGCGAACAUUAGUCAGUCACACAAGAUAUCGCUGGAGAUGUUUGGCUGUGGACACCAUGGGACGAACUUUAGUCAGUCACACAAGAUAUCGCUGGAGAUGUUUGGCUGUGGACACCAUGGGACCAACGUUAGUCAGUCACACAAGAUAUCGCUGGAGAUGUUUGGCUGUGGACACCAUGGGACCAACGUUAGUCAGUCACUGACUACGCACGCCCCAAAUCCUCUAACUUCCGAUCCAUGCUGUUAACUCUGACUUUUGCCUUAUACCUUCAGUAGCCCUUUCCAGUAGUCAAAUGACCUAGUGG